rnacentral:rRNA from 1 species
GGGCAGCAUGAAAGUUUGCUUGCAAACUUUUGAUGGCGACCCGCGCACGGGUGAGUAACACGUAUCCAACCUGCCUCAUACUCGGGGAUAGCCUUUCGAAAGAAAGAUUAAUACCCGAUGUCAUAGUCCUACCGCAUGAUGGGACUAUUAAAGAAUUUCGGUAUGGGAUGGGGAUGCGUUCCAUUAGUUAGUUGGCGGGGUAACGGCCCACCAAGACAACGAUGGAUAGGGGUUCUGAGAGGAAGGUCCCCCACAUUGGAACUGAGACACGGUCCAAACUCAUACGGGAGGCAGCAGUGAGGAAUAUUGGUCAAUGGACGAGAGUCUGAACCAGCCAAGUAGCGUGAAGGAUGACUGCCCUAUGGGUUGUAAACUUCUUUUAUAUGGGAAUAAAACGUUCCACGUGUGGGAUUUUGUAUGUACCAUAUGAAUAAGGAUCGGCUAACUCCGUGCCAGCAGCCGCGGUAAUACGGAGGAUCCGAGCGUUAUCCGGAUUUAUUGGGUUUAAAGGGAGCGUAGGUGGAUUGUUAAGUCAGUUGUGAAAGUUUACGGCUCAACCGUAAAAUUGCAGUUGAAACUGGCAGUCUUGAGUACAGUAGAGGUGGGCGGAAUUCGUGGUGUAGCGGUGAAAUGCUUAGAUAUCACGAAGAACUCCGAUUGCGAAGGCAGCUCACUGGACUGCAACUGACACUGAGGCUCGAAAGUGUGGGUAUCAAACAGGAUUAGAUACCCUGGUAGUCCACACAGUAAACGAUGAAUACUCGCUGUUUGCGAUAUCAGCAAGCGGCCAAGCGAAAGCAUUAAGUAUU